rnacentral:rRNA from 1 species
UACGGGGGGGGCAAGCGUUGUUCGGAAUUACUGGGCGUAAAGGGCGCGUAGGCGGCUCGUCAAGUCGGGCGUGAAAUCUCCAGGCUUAACCUGGAAAAGUCGUUCGAUACUGUUGAGCUAGAGUGUGGAAGAGGCUACUGGAAUUCCGUGUGUAGGCGGUGAAAUGCGUAGAUAUACGGAGGAACACCAGCGGCGAAGGCGGCUUUCUGGACGGUAACUGGACGCUGAGACGCGAAAGCGUGGG